rnacentral:rRNA from 1 species
UACGGGGGGGGCAAGCGUUGUUCGGAAUUACUGGGCGUAAAGGGCUCGUAGGCGGCCAACUAAGUCAGACGUGAAAUCCCCCGGCUUAACCUGGGAACUGCAUCCGAUACUGGAUGGCUUGAAUCCGGGAGAGGGAUGCAGAAUUCCAGGUGUAGCGGUGAAAUGCGUAGAUAUCUGGAGGAAUACCGGUGGCGAAGGCGGCAUCCUGGACCGGCAUUGACGCUGAGGAGCGAAAGCUAGGGGAGCAAACGGG